rnacentral:rRNA from 1 species
UGGGGAAUAUUGCACAAUGGGCGCAAGCCUGAUGCAGCAACGCCGCGUGAACGAUGAAGGUCUUCGGAUCGUAAAGUUCUGUUGCAGGGGAAGAUAAUGACGGUACCCUGUGAGGAAGCCCCGGCUAACUACGUGCCAGCAGCCGCGGUAAUACGUAGGGGGCUAGCGUUAUCCGGAUUUACUGGGCGUAAAGGGUGCGUAGGUGGUCUUUCAAGUCGGUGGUUAAAGGCUACGGCUCAACCGUAGUUAGCCUCCGAAACUGGAAGACUUGAGUGCAGGAGAGGAAAGUGGAAUUCCAUGUGUAGCGGUGAAAUGCGUAGAUAUAUGGAGGAACACCGGUGGCGAAAGCGGCUCUCUGGUCUGUAACUGACGCUGAGGCUCGAAAGCGUGGGGAGCGAACAGG